rnacentral:rRNA from 1 species
GAUGAACGCUGGCGGCGUGCCUAAUACAUGCAAGUCGAGCGAACAGACGAGGAGCUUGCUCCUCUGUCGUUAGCGGCGGACGGGUGAGUAACACGUGGAUAACCUACCUAUAAGACUGGGAUAACUUCGGGAAACCGGAGCUAAUACCGGAUAAUAUAUUGAACCGCACGGUUCAAUAGUGAAAGACGGUUUUGCUGUCACUUAUAGAUGGAUCCGCGCCGCAUUAGCUAGUUGGUAAGGUAACGGCUUACCAAGGCAACGAUGCGUAGCCGACCUGAGAGGGUGAUCGGCCACACGGGAACUGAGACACGGUCCAGACUCCUAAGGGAGGCAGCAGUAGGGAAUCUUACGCAAUGGGCGAAAGCCUGACGGAGCAACGCCGCGUGAGUGAUGAAGGUCUUCGGAGCGUAAAACUCUGUUAUUAGGGAAGAACAAAUGUGUAAGUAACUAUGCACGUCUUGACGGUACCUAAACAGAAAGCCACGGCUAACUACGUG